rnacentral:rRNA from 1 species
UCGGGAAUAUUGCACAAUGGAGGAAACUCUGAUGCAGUGACGCCGCGUGCAGGAAGAAGGUUUUCGGAUUGUAAACUGCUUUAGAUGGGGAAGAAAAAAGACUGUACCCAUAGAAUAAGCUCCGGCUAACUACGUGCCAGCAGCCGCGGUAAUACGUAGGGAGCAAGCGUUAUCCGGAUUUAUUGGGUGUAAAGGGUGCGUAGACGGGAAUUUAAGUUAGUUGUGAAAUCCCUCGGCUUAACUGAGGAACUGCAACUAAAACUGAAUUUCUUGAGUGCGGGAGAGGAAAGUGGAAUUCCUAGUGUAGCGGUGAAAUGCGUAGAUAUUAGGAGGAACACCAGUGGCGAAGGCGACUUUCUGGACCGUAACUGACGUUGAGGCACGAAAGUGUGGGGAGCAAACAGG